GUAGGUGAACCUGCGGAAGGAUCAUUGUCGAAACCUGCAAAAGCAGACCGCGAACACGUCCAAAACCACACCGGGGCCCCGGAGGGGGGGCGACCCCCCGCCGAGGCCCCGAUCCCGCAACGUCCCCACCCGGGGGGCCGCGCGGGCUAACGAACUCGGGCGCGGAAUGCGCCAAGGAAAACGCAAAUGGAGCGUCCCCCUCCCCACCGAGUCCCGUCCGCGGGGCGAGGCGGGGAGAAAGGGACGCCUAUCGAAUGUCUAAACGACUCUCGGCAACGGAUAUCUCGGCUCUCGCAUCGAUGAAGAACGUAGCGAAAUGCGAUACUUGGUGUGAAUUGCAGAAUCCCGUGAACCAUCGAGUCUUUGAACGCAAGUUGCGCCCGAAGCCAUUAGGCCGAGGGCACGUCUGCCUGGGCGUCACGCAUCGCGUCGCCCCCGCCCAAAACCCCAAGGGGCGGGCGGGGGCGGAGAUUGGCCCCCCGUGCGAGCGAACCCGCGCGCGCGGCCGGCCCAAAUGCGAAUCCGCCGCCGACGCACGUCGCGACCAGUGGUGGUUGAACCCUCAACUCUCGUGCUGUCGCGCACCAAUGCUUCGUCGGUCCGGAGACACCAUCGGAACCCAACGGCGCGCGAGCUCGCGCUCCGCGCCCACGACCGCGACCCCAGGUCAGGCGGGAUCACCC
rnacentral:rRNA from 1 species